UACGGACGGGGCAAGCGUUGUUCGGAAUCAUUGGGCGUAAAGGGCGCGUAGGUGGUUCUGUAUGUCUACCGUGAAAGCGUACGGCUCAACCGUAUUUUGUCGGUGGAAACUGCAGGACUUGAGGCUGGGAGGGGCUGGUGGAAUUCCCUGUGUAGCGGUGAAAUGCGUAGAGAUGGGGGAGAACACUCGUGGCGAAGGCGGCCAGCUAGACCAGUUCUGACACUGAGGCGCGAAAGCGUGGGGAGCAAACAGG
rnacentral:rRNA from 1 species